rnacentral:lncRNA from 1 species
AUGAAAUAGGUAGGAUAUAAUUGGCAUGCCAAUAGGGAUUAGAUAUGCAUUUGGUCUAAGAGAUGAUGUCUUUGGAGAUUUUUUAUUACCUUUGGGCUCUGUACGAUUGUGCACUCUUUAUUGCCUUUAUGCCUUGCACUUGUGGAGCCCCAAACCUGGCUAGGACGGUUUGACCUGAAUCCAGAACGUCACAUUAGUCACCGAGCU